CGAUGGGGUAGAGGAGCAGGAUUUAUGAGUAAUCUGUGUGAGGAUGACAACUGCGAUCACAGAUGAAAGGGAAUCACUGCCGAAAUGGUAACAAUCAGUCAGGGUUUUAUCAUUGGGGUUAUCUUUAAGAAGGAUAACACUCUCUUUCCGCAGCAGUUUUGCGGGUUGAGGAGCUACAGAUCGU
rnacentral:ncRNA from 1 species